rnacentral:lncRNA from 1 species
CUUUGGAACACUGAGUGGAUGAUGGUGUCAUUAACAGAGAUGGGAAAAAUAGAGGGAAAGGCAGACGUGAAUGCGCACUUAGAUUUGCACACGGUAUGUUUGAGAUGGAACAGGACAUCCAUCCGCUGCUGAGUAGCAAGCAACUGCUGCUGGCUUCUGUGACAUCACCAUUGCAGGAAAAAUAUAAGGAUCCAGAAAAGAGCAAAGAAAGAGAUAGGAAAAGACCUGAAGGAAGGCAGAGCUCCUUAAUCCAAAGGAGGAAGGAAUUUCAGAUUCGUGUUUUCCUAACCUCCACCUCAGUGGAAAGAGUGGCUUUCCUUGAGAAAGAAGCAAAUAGCGGUGCCAUUUGGGGAUGUCAAUGAUACCGACACUGUUUAAUGUCUCUGUGUUUUCACACUUUUUUGUGACAAUCCAAAACACAGACACAGUGUUACAUUUUAUUAAUCAUGUUUGGACAUGAAUCAAUUCCUAAUGUGUGUUGUGUGUGUAUUUUCAAAGAAAAAUCUUUAUCAAAACCGAGUGUCCUGCUUUUGUUUGGCACUAGUGUGCCAGGAAAGGGUUACAGAAUCCUGUCUCUUCUUGAUCUAUAACAGCUGGUAAAAAAGUACAGCGCUGGAGCUGUGUAAGUCCCCGCCAUUACCAUCCCCCACCGCCUCUCUCCACUUAGUAAAAUUCCUUACAAAGUUGAAAUCCAGUGGUAAGCAAAGGAAGCAGCUUUGGUUCAUUAGUUUUGAGAGGACUAAGGAUGAGAUUCUUGUAGUUAAAAAAGAAGGUUUUAAAUGCAACAACCGCUAUGCAGUCUGCAAGAUUCAUGGUUAGAGUGUUUUUCCUGAAAAGGAAUAAUUCAGAGUAAGGAGCAGUCUUGGCCUUAUUGAGAGCCUGAGCUAGAAUUGGAAGCCCCAAACCAAAAUCACAAUCAAGUCUGAAAGCUCG